GCGACCUCGCUGGGAGAAGCUGGCCGCCCGACCAAGGGCAUGGCCGGUGCCGAAGGAGCAACCGCCCCGGAAACUCUCAGGCAAAAGGACCAGCAAGGUGCC
rnacentral:ncRNA from 1 species